CUGAGGUCUGCCUGACCCCUGAGAUCCUACUUGCUCGGUGGGGAGAUCUGCUGAUGCUCUAGGCCUGUGGUGCUGGGAUGGAUAUGCGAGUGCUUAUCAGCUUUGACAUGGUGUCCAUCAUGCCAGUCAAGGAAGACCUGCUCCUGCGCCAAUGCUCAACCUGGAGAAAAGGUUGUGGCACUGAAUUUAACAAAAUGAAAUAUUGACUUUUGGAGCAAUCCCAGCGUUUGAUGAAGAAUUGAAUAGCAGCCUGCCUUGAACUAAGAAUCUAGAAGAAUUCAAAUCCAGCAUAGAGUGGACCAUAAAGAUCAACAUUUUUCACAAGAGGAAACUAUUUUCAGGGGAGGAUAAGAGCAUUCUCUAGCAUUAAUUGCAGGGUUGGGCCUAUGGCCUAAUUAGAACCUCUUACCAUUAUGGUGUUUGGAAACUAUUUUCUUUAUCAAAAAAUUCUAUUUUGAUAUUAAAAAUAUUCACCCACCUACAGAAAUCCUCACUGAAGUGUCAACAACUGGGAUGAAGUUGUCUUCCUAAAGAAGGGGCCAUAACCUUGGAGUUAAAUAUUUAUGAAGAAAGCAUUCCAUUUGUAACUGUCACAUAAGAAUUUGGGAACAGCUGUAGCAUAAGGGAUAGCAUGUAAUGUGUCUUCCUUCACUCUAGUGGCAAAGCCAAGAUUGCCAAGCUAAAGUUUAUAGAUGGUUUUCUUCACUUUACAUUUCAUCCAGAUUAAAAAUGUAGAGAAAAUACCACGUAUAUUUUUGCAGAAUUGACAAUACUUCAGGAGACUUACAUCUUGACCUUCAUUACUUUGUAAGUAUUGUGUACCUAACUGUCUGGCCUUAACAAGGGAAAAUGUUUACAUAAUUAAGUCAUUUACAGAUUUAAAGGUGAAUGAUCUAUUCUUAGAGAGUGUAUAUGAGAUUGUUCCAUUUUUUCCCUUUAAGUUAAUUUUUUGAAGUUUUAUGCAUAAGAAUAAUGAAAUGAAAAUAAAAACAACAGAAAAGAAUGAUGAAAUGAAU
rnacentral:lncRNA from 1 species